rnacentral:rRNA from 1 species
UACGAAGGGGGCUAGCGUUGUUCGGAAUUACUGGGCGUAAAGCGCGCGCAGGCGGUCUUCCAAGUCAGUGGUGAAAGCCCGGAGCUCAACUCCGGAACUGCCAUUGAAACUGUGAGACUUGAGUAUGAGAGAGGUGAGUGGAAUUCCCAGUGUAGAGGUGAAAUUCGUAGAUAUUGGGAAGAACACCGGUGGCGAAGGCGGCUCACUGGCUCAUUACUGACGCUCAGGCGCGACAGCGUGGGGAGCAAACAGG